CCAGGGGAUAAAUUGGAGGUGGUAGAAAAAUUUGUGAAGAAAACUGAAAAUAGAUAAUGGGAAAUUUUUGAGUGGCAAAGAGAGAAAAAAGAUCAAAAUAAACACUUACGGAGAGAAAGAAGUGCAGGAAAGAGGGGUGACCUGGAGAGGAAUGCGAAGCGUCAUUUGAAUCAAAAGGGGACUGUGAAUGUCUCAGUGAAGGAAAAUGUACAGAAGCGAGAAGAAAGGAUUGAAACACCAGGAAUUAUGGAAAGAUAGAAUGUAAUGGGAAAUACAAGGUGGAAGAUAGAAUCGGAAAGAAACAGUGGAAAUCAAGAGUGAAUGCUGUCUUGGAAGGAUGUGGACAGUUUCAGUGGUUGGGAAGACUUGGUUAGAAAAAGGAGUUUGAGAAUGUUGGUGGCUGAAGGGAAGAGAGGGACAAAUAAGAAGGACACAUGGUACUGCCUGCCGAAGCCUCAGAACAAAGAUCACGAGAGAAUGGUGAGCUGUAAGUGCAGGCGAAUAUAUGGAAAGCAAUUCCUUGGACUAAUAUGGAGCCCAUACAGUUUCCAGAAUACUGAGCUUGAAAAUUCGUUACAAGAAGGAUCAGAGAUGCAAACCAUGCCUUUGGUUUGAAGAAGCAUACAGACAAAAAUAAAAGAAAACAACACAGAAGUAACUUGUUUCUUCUUGCAAGGCAUUUUGAGAUCUGAAGGAUCAAACUCUCACCCAGAAACAUACACUUGAGCAUACAGAAGUUGUUUCAGACAGAAAAUAUACAUUGAUGUCAUCUCAGAAACUGGAAGGAAAGGAACCAGAGACUGCAAGAAUAAGCUGUGUUAGAGGCUCUUACAAAGAGGUCCAAUGGAAGGAAUAUUUGUUGGGAUGUGGUUCUGAAAUGGCUGUAUGAAAUCGCAGGGUUUCUGGAUGAUAUUUCAUGAAAUGGGUGAACUAAUCUAACAGCUUGCUUCUGACAAGUGGGCUUCCCCAGAAAGAAAGGGGCUGAAGGGGCCAGAGGAGGGCUCAGCUUUCUCAGCUGAGACUGAUGGUCAACCAUGGAUCAUCUCUUUUACUCCUGUGGCUACAUGGCAUUUCAUUGCUGUGAACAUCUGGACAGAACCUGCUGCAAAUCUUUUUCGAUUGCAACUCCAAUGAUUUGGGCAAAUGAGAAAAGGAAAACUGAAAAUAGAGGGGCUAGGAAGGCAGAAGUUUGCACUGACAAAGAAGAUCUAGCACUGCAGUUUACAUUUCUGUACUCUGCUACCAAGUAUUGUUUGCUUCUUAAUGGUUUUCUUUGUUGCAUACAGAUCUGACUGCUCUGCUCUGAAGUCUACCCUUCUGUGUACAUCUGAGAUGGUUCAGAGCUUGUUUAAUCAUUUGCAGCUCCCUGCUUGUUUGUAAGGAGAUGGGAAGCCAUAGUGAUGUCAAAAGGAUUUACUGAAAUACACAGACAGAGCAAACAAUCGACCCAAACCAAGAUAAUGUGACUGCAUGACCCCCAAACAAGCAAGAGUAGAGAUUAACAUUUAAAUUCAUACUUAAUUCUGUAACAACUAUAAAUAUCAUCUCAUCAAUUGCUAUCCCAAACUUUCAUUAGAGACAAAAUAAUCCAAAGGAUUAAGAGCUUCUAUCACAUUCCUCCACAUUCCCAAAUCCAUCAGCCAGCAUAGGAAGAAAUUCCAAUAUACAGCAAGUACAUACAGAGAUAAUCAGAGCUCAGUACAUGAAUAGAAGUAGCUUGGAUUUCCCAUGGCCUUAAGCAAAGAUAUUUCUCAAAGUAACCAUAAUAAGUAGCUGCAACACAUGCUUACAGUCUCCUCAAUACAACAGAUAGCAUGUUUUCAGACUCUCUGUGUUGAAAAUAAUAAUAAUUUAAAAAAAAAUCA
ensembl:lncRNA